ensembl:lncRNA
CUGUUAGCUGUGGGCCAGAGGCAGUGAUGGAGCACCUGGUUAAGGUGUGAACAGCCCAGGGAGCACAGGUGGAAGCAAUUCCCCUGUGGAGCGGGACUGGGUGGAGCCAGAGCCCACCCUGAGCUCAUUUAAAGGCUGGCAGCUGAAGGAGAAGGGUCUGUGCCUAGAGGUUGCUCUGGCUGUUUGGUUGGUGUUGAGCAGAAGGUUCUGGACACCAGGACUUCUUCAAAGAGAUGUGAGGACUCCACUGAGGACCUUGAUGGACGCAGCAGGAAGCCACAGCCAACGCUGGACACCAACAUCAACACUUGAUCUUGUUUGGCAAGGAGCUCCCCUUGGCCUCCAUGUCUCGCUCUGGCCAGGCAGAUGUGGUGCACCAACGGUACGCAGAGUCCAGACCCUGAGCAGAACAACUGAGGAGAGAGGCUGCCCUGGGUGAGACAGGAGAAGUGCCCCUUGAAGCGGGGGACGCCCCGCUGGCGCUGCCUCUCGCAUCCACCGGCAGCACGUUCCUUCUCUCUCCUUGGCACCCGACGCUUUGCCGUCUCCCAGGGCUCACCAAGUCCAAAUGUUCCCUGAUGGAGUCCAACUCCAGCUUGACCAAUACUCACCCCAUCUUGUCCCUGCACCAGCUGGCUUAGGGCUCCCCAGCACUGCUGGCUGUCGGUGCCUUCUGUCGCUCCCAAUCAGCAUGGCUCUGUUCUUUGCCUUUUGGCUUCCAGAGCAUUUGCUACAGGUUAUGGAGUGUUUCUCUUCUCUCUCUUCUUGUCCUCCAUGUUGCCCGUUGGCGCCUUGGUAGAGUUUCAGUGACCCAAAUGCAGACUGCUCUGCAUUGACCAAUUGUGAUGCCAAGAGAAGAGGAUAGGAGACUCUGCCGUCAGAUGGCGUUGCCUGUUCUUCUCUCCCCAGUUUGCAGAGCUGGAUGUGACCUCAGCACUGGAUAAGGGGUUUGACCAAGUGAGAUGGAAAAUCAAGUGGUAAACUCCAAAACAGGCUUGCAUAUUGGAGACUUACCCACCACAUGGUGAUGCCUUCCCUGACCUCCUUGAUUGCAGUGUGGGAUGUGCCCUGAUCCUUGGAAAGGGGUGAGUGAUUCCUGCAUCCUCACUAGAAGGUAAUCUCUACUUACCUUUUCUUGUGUUCAUAAGGUGGCACUGGAGAGUUGUGACCCUGCUGAGCAGUGCAAGGACUCUACUGAGGCUCUUGGUGGACUCAGCAAGAACCCACACCCGUAGAUGGAUGCCAAUAUCUAUUCCUUCCUCUGUCUGGCAAGCUCUGUUGUCCCCUGAGGUCGUUCCCAUGCUUGCAGAGGUCCUAUGGACUUGUUGGUUUUCGCUUGUGCUCACUGGGCUUAUCAAGGGUGUUCCUCUUGCUUGACACCACCUUUCCCACUCUCCAUUUCCAAGCAGGAGCUCCCUUUGGCCUCCAUGUCUCGCUCUGGCCAGGCAGAUGUGGUGUGUCAAUGGAUCAAAGCCUUCAGAAUCCAACCAAAAGAAAUGGGGAGAGAGGCUGCCCUGGGUGAGACAGGAGAAGUGCCCCUUGAAGCGGGGGACGCCCCGCUGGCACUGCCUCUCACAUCCAUCAGCAGCACAUUCCUUUUCUCUCCUUGCCACCUGGCGCUUUGCAAUCUCCCUGUGCUUGCCAAGUCCAAAUGUUCCCUGAUGGAGUCCAACUCCGGCUCGACCAUCACUCACCUGGUCUGUCCCCACACCAGCUGGCUUAGGGCUCUCCAGUACUGCUGGAUGUCAGUGCCUUCUGUUGCUCCCUGUCAACAUGGUGGUGUUCUUUCUUUUUAGGUUCAGUAACGUGUCUUCUUGUUAUGCGGUGGUACUCUUCUCUGUUUUCUUGUGUUUCAUGUUGCCUGUCAAUGCCUCUUUGGAGAUACACCAAGUGAAAUGUAAACUGAUGUUCUUUGACCCAGUGUGAUGGAAAAUGAAGAUGUAGGCUCCACUACAGCUAUCGUUCGAAACGGGAUGGACCAUUUUGACUAUUUGUCAACGCCCACCUGGCAAUCUGAAUUUAGGAGCCGCUUUCAUGGACGUGUCGCUGCAGGGCAAAGAAGGCCUCAAAACUUCAGUGGACCUGUACCCCCAAGAGAGCUCUGAAACUUAUGUUAAGAAAAUAAAUGUCUUAAUAUUUUUCUGUCUUCUAUAGUUUUAACUGUUGCUUUAGCUUGGCUGGAAAAUAGGUAUGUAAAGCUAAUUGAAAAUCUUGCUGAAGGAAGGUUUUAGUGUUUCAGACUGUUGGGUUUGUAUGACUCUCCCAAGAAGUGUAGGAAGUGUGCCAAUUUACGCAGCAGUUGCACUAAAUUGGACAAUACUGAAUUAUGUAACAAAUCAGAUGGAAAACGGUGGAAAUUGUAAAUGCGUGGAUGAAAAUCAGAGUAAGGUCGUUG